GAAAUGGAUGGCUGGUCUGGUUUGACUGACACCUGAAACUUUUGUGCAGAGUAUUUGUUAAUUUGACAGACUCGACUCUAAGUCUUUGUGUUCAAAAGCAGAACUCUUACUUAGAAGUAGGGGAGGCUGAUGGAAAGUGGUGGUAACACAGGAUGGAGUGGAGAGAGAAGAGCAUGAAAAGCAAACAAAGAUGUGCUUUAGUGAGGUGGAAAAGCUUAUGGGCCAGGGGGAUGGGAGAAGGUAAGACCUCUUCUUAGCACGUGACGCUGAGUUCAGCACUUCAGAGAACAAUUUCCUUACACUGGCACUCAUGUGUGUAUGCAGUUUGUGGUUUGCCCGUGGCCUUCGGAAGGGAGGAGGGGAGCAGCACAGCAAUGUUGCUAUCAGCCAGCAACUCUGGAGGACUCGUUCAUCACGUUCCUCGGACCAAAGAAGCCUGCAUAUACAGACAGCAUGACUGGAAUUUGCUAGUCCUUUUAUCUACGUCAUACAUAAGAAAGUAAAACAACUGCUGGGGCAUCUGCAUGAUAUUUGGAUGUGGUAGAACUGGCCUUUUAUCCCACUCAUUCCACCACGGUCUGCCUGGACUUACUUUCCUUUUCCCAAGGCAGCAUCCUUCACCCGAGAUCAAUGCACCUCUGUUUAUCACUCUAUUCUUCAUCUUUCAAAGGCCGGUCCUUCUCUUAAGGUGGAGAGUAGAAAGGGAAAAAACUGAAGAAAGUGAUUUGAAGAGUUUGUAAGGCAGUGAGGUGGGGAAAACAAACUGACUCCUGAUUGCAGUUAAAAAUAUCUUACAUGAUGAAAAAAAAUCCAC
rnacentral:lncRNA from 1 species